rnacentral:tRNA from 1 species
CAGAAGGCAGUAUUAGUGUAUAUGUAGUUUCGGCCUACAAGGAGGGUUAACUAGUCCCUUUCUGU